GACGAACGCUGGCGGCGUGCCUAGUACAUGCAAGUAGAACGCUGAAGGAGGAGCUUGCUUCUCCGGAUGAGUUGCGAACGGGUGAGUAACGCGUAGGUAACCUGCCUGGUAGCGGGGGAUAACUAUUGGAAACGAUAGCUAAUACCGCAUAAUAGUAGAUGUUGCAUGACAUUUACUUAAAAGGUGCAAUUGCAUCACUACCAGAUGGACCUGCGUUGUAUUAGCUAGUUGGUGGGGUAACGGCUCACCAAGGCGACGAUACAUAGCCGACCUGAGAGGGUGAUCGGCCACACUGGGACUGAGACACGGCCCAGACUCCUACGGGAGGCAGCAGUAGGGAAUCUUCGGCAAUGGACGGAAGUCUGACCGAGCAACGCCGCGUGAGUGAAGAAGGUUUUCGGAUCGUAAAGCUCUGUUGUAAGAGAAGAACGAGUGUGAGAGUGGAAAGUUCACACUGUGACGGUAUCUUACCAGAAAGGGACGGCUAACUACGUGCCAGCAGCCGCGGUAAUACGUAGGUCCCGAGCGUUGUCCGGAUUUAUUGGGCGUAAAGCGAGCGCAGGCGGUUAGAUAAGUCUGAAGUUAAAGGCUGUGGCUUAACCAUAGUACGCUUUGGAAACUGUUUAACUUGAGUGCAUGAGGGGAGAGUGGAAUUCCUAGUGUAGCGGUGAAAUGCGUAGAGAUUAGGAGGAACACCAGUGGCGAAGGCGGCUUUUUGGCCUGUAACUGACACUGAGGCGCGAAAGCGUGGGGAGCAAACAGG
rnacentral:rRNA from 1 species